GGUUCGAAAUCCGAAGAAAAAAACGUCCUGACUCGGCUGACUGCUGUUAUAAGAUUUAAGGUUUUCUAAUUCUUUGAAUCACUUCCGGUUUAUACUAGGAUUUACAGAGCUGUCUUUAGGAGGAUUUGCAGGUUCGAGGCUUUUUGAGGUGCCUCAUUCAGAUGCAGAACCAGAUUGGUUCAACAUUGGUGUCUCAAGAUUUGCAAGAAUCAGAGUUACCACAAUGCUAUAGGAGUGUAUAUAGGGGUCUGUUUUGCGUGUGCUAAAGAUUUGCCAUUAUAUCAUGUACAUGGGUUGCCUUUUCAUGAAUGACGGCGACGCUGCUGAAGAGAAUCUUAGUUAGGGACAUAAAACUUUAUGAGGGUGAUAGUUUUUUUGCAAUUUGACGAAUCUCCGGAUUACUGGUAAGUUGUUGCCAGACGAAGAGAUAACUUGGGCCCUAAUUGCUUCGAUUUUGUUUAGGACUUCAAAGGUUCCUUACAAAGGUAAGUUAAUUCAUAUAUUGAUUAGUCAUUUUAAUGAAACUGAUUAGCGGUUUUCACAUUGGUGAGUUAUGCUAUCGAACGGUCCAAAUAUCGAAUCCUUGCUUUUUUCAAAUUGGUGCAGAUGUCUAAUUUUUUGCGACAUUGUGCCUUUACAAAGAAAAGAGUUUAGCUGAAUCAAGUUGCUCUUUUCACAUUGGUAAGAGCGUGGGACCUAAUGAAUCUGGGGUGUAGGUUUCAGAAGGAAGGGGGUGUUUUCAUUUUAUAAAAAUAAGUUUUCUAGAUUUUUGGAGGUUCAUAAUACGUAGUAUGUCUGGUUAGGGAUAGGUUAUUAAAAUUUUGGAAGUUACUAGAUACGGAAGUAGUUUUCGCUUAAGAAUAGGUUUCUAAUUUAUGGAAGUUACUAAAUACGGAAGUAUUGUCUGGUUAAGAAUAGGUUUCCAAGCAUAGAAACUAAAAGGAGAUUUAUUACAAUAUUCAGGGCGAUAUAUACAUACCAACAGAACACUUGUUAGUUUGUCUAGCAGAGAUACAAGUAGUCGGCGAUUAAGGAAUAGUGUUUUUGGAUCCAUGGAGGAUCUUCAUAUCAGCAUUUUGUCAGAGAUACUUUAUCGCGUUCCUCUAGAAUUCGUGGUAAGCUGCAAGCUUGUAUCCAAAAAAUGGAAUGAUAUACUCUCUCAAAGAAAGGUUGCAGGUAUCCUUUUCCUUGUUGGUUCAUAUUGGGAAAGAAAUCUUCAACUUUACUAUGGAAAUUUGAGUGAUAUUCUCAAGACUAGUGACCCGGAGCAGUUUUCCUACAAGAAAUUCAUAAAGAUGAACCAUCCUCUCGUUAACAGGCGAGAAUUUGCACACCCAGAAAAUUUCUUUGUUGGUUCUUGCAAUGGUUUGGUUUGUUUCUCAGUACCCCAUCACUGCAUCAAUGAUCCAGUUUAUAUCACCAAUCCGAUCUAUGGGGAAUAUGUUAACCUUCCAAGAUUACACCCUAAACGUGGUGUCGUAAUUAGCGGUACCUUUGUUCGACUAAUGAGUAUAAGGUUGUUCGAAUUUUCUACCCUGACAAAGAAGAGAAUAGUUACAGUAAUAACAAUGCCGGAGUUGGAUGGGUUCAGAUUUAUACUUUAGGGGGUGAUAAUAUUGGUUGGAGAAACAUAGGUGUCAUCACCUACGAAUUGUUUCAUGCAUGUACCUUUUUGGAUGGAUCGUUGUACUGGAUGGAAAGAUCCGAAGGGAAGGUUUUGGCUGAUGAGGAGUUCCGAGUGAUCUCGCCGUCACCAUGCGGCGGCUUUGUUUCUUAUUCUUCUCUGCAUAGCCUGAAGAUAUUGGUCAUUCAAGCAAAGCAAGUAUGGCAACAACGUGAAAGAGGGAUAUCGGUUUUGGAGUUGGAGCUUGGAGUUCAGCGUAGCAACCCCAAGAAGGUCUAGUAUCUACAAUCCCUUCUCUCUCAUUGAGAAGAAUGAAGUUCUUUUGUGGUUGGAUGAAACGAUUCUUUGUCGUUAUGACCCAAAGACUAAAACGCUGGACCAACUAGUGGAUCUAGCUUUUGAUAGUAGUGUGAGAACUUGUCAGGCAGUCACACACUUGAAUUGCCUUGUCUCACUAAAAAGCUUAGGAGUGAUCUGCUGCACCCAAAGACUUCGUCACUGUACUUGCAAACCUUAUUGAAAGCACCUAACUUGAUGGUCCCGGCGUCUGAAUAUGUAUUUCUCUUUGAAGUCUUAGAUGAACGAUUGAUAUGAAACAAAUCCAGUUAUUUGUA